AGCAGUACUGUAAGUACUUGCGAUAAGCCGCUAAGGUAGUAAGGACGUCGCCGCAAAGGACUACGCUGUAUACUAAUGCAACAACAACAGCAACAACAACAAGGUCGUUAACGUGUCACAGACUCACAACCACGUACGAACAAACUAAAGCGUACGAAUGUUGUCUAAGCGGUUCACCAUGUGUGGCUACCUGUUCUGACCAGCUCACCAUGAGCGUAGCAUGACUAGACAUCUUUAUCGGAAGAUGCCCAUUCUGUUUCUAAACUUGAUUUUAGUUUUGGUCUUUCGUCCGUUCGUACGGAACGUACUAAUAAAGUUAGGCCUGGGAUCUGGCCGCACAGUAAACUGGUGUUUCUCGAUUCUGGUAAUUGUAAUCACAGCUUUCUUCGUGACCUUGCAUCCUUUUCCAACCUGAACAGUCGUAAGCUCCCUCGAAGCGCUGAGUAAGCAAUUCGAGUUGAGUUGCUUUAAGAGCAUCGUUUUAAUAUGUACGAGGACAUCUUAUUUAUGAUACCACAAAGCCGUGUGGAGGUACGAAAACUUUGACAUAAUGACACCAGAUGUCGCGCAAUCUCAAACACUUCCGUGGAUCCCAGCUGGCUCGUGCAGAAGCUUGGAUCAGGAUUCGGAUUACUCAAACUUGGACCUCGAUUACUCCAACUUGGAUUCGAAUUACCUGGAUUUGGAUUUCUCAUCUCGGACUUGCAUCACCUGACUCGAACUACUGAUUACUUAACCUGGAAUUGGGUUGACUUUGAUUACCAUACGGAAGUUGAAACAGCUUCAGCGGAGCGCACAAACUCGAUCCCAAACGAAAUUCUGGCAACAAAGUUUGAUUGCAGCAGUAGUUUAUUACUCUGCGAUCAACCACCAGCUAAAUUUAAACCGUGUGUAUCUAGAUUGGAAUGCGUCACAAGUUCAAUUACGAUACAGCAACUCCACCACGGCAGGUGGCUUCCGGUGCAGUAUCUGUUGGCGUGGCCGGUUGAGGAACCGCACCAUAGCGAGAUUCGCUUGGAGACCUAUCCUACGGGCAGUUGGCGCGGGUUCGAGUCCCGUCAUCGGCAGAUUUUCGUAUCUUCAAUGCACAAAAGAACGGAAAAAUGAGUGCGAAGGAUCAAGUAAGGGCAAGAAAUACGUUCCAAACCGUUCAUGAGAGCCACCUACGAGAAAGAGGAUCACAGAGGAUUUCGGAAAGGCGGUAAAUGGGCCAAGAAAAAGAAGCCGAAGAAGACUAAACUGAAGCUUCCAAGAGAGGUGAAAAUUACCAUUUCCUGAGGAGAUGAAGAAUCCAACCCGAAAAGUUUCUCGGAUAACCCUUUGUCAAUGUCCUCACAAUACCUAAUGAUAGCCUGGCGUACGUGAAGAGUGACGGAGGACCCCCUACACCGUUCUCCGAUGAUAAAAUAUGGAUAUUGGAAAAUAUCAAAUUGGACAUAUCCCAUAUUAAUUCGCUUUGCCAAUCCGGAGACAACGACAAUAUCGCUCGGGCGUACAGGACCGGGAUCAACGUCAACUUCUACGACGCUUGUUACAAAACUCCUCUGAUGUGUGUGCACUAACGGUUAGAACACCAUUAAUUGCUAUCUUCCUCAGGUUAUAAUGUAAUAGUUAUAAUGAAUUACUGCAAAAUGGAGCAUUGGUUAACGCCCAUACGCUAAGCGGAGCAAGCCCGUUAUUAAAAGCCAUAGAAAGAUGUUGCGUGACAAACGGGGCUGAAAACCGGCCCCGUGUGUCAUCUUUGCGGCCUUUCUGUU